rnacentral:lncRNA from 1 species
AGAACGAGCCAAAACAAAAUCGCUGCGCAAAGCUGUCAGGAGUUCUGUUUCGUCACGCGGGCCAGCCAUGCGGCCGCGCGACGUGGCCGCGCGAGUCGCCGUAUUUCCGCCCAAAAUUCGUUUUUUUAGCGAUUUUGGGUAUUUUUGAGAGCUACAAGACCUAGGGCAUAUAAAUACUCCCCAAGAACUUAUUCUCUGAGCUUUUAUCACCUUUUAUCAGCUUAUAUCAUAUUUUACUUUUCCUGAGAGCUGAGAGAGACGGAGAACGGAGACAGAGCAAGAUUGAAGAUUCUCAAUUUCAAUACGGUUUUUCUUGUUGGAUGUUUAUUUGUUUUAUUGAGAAUUGUAUUCUAGUUCAUAUGUCUAUGUGUGGCUAGAAUCCCUUUUUCCCAGGGUUUAGGGAGUAGACAUGAUUUGAAUUUC